CGGCAAUGGAGGAAACUCUGACCGAGCAACGCCGCGUGAACGAUGAAGUAUUUCGGUAUGUAAAGUUCUUUUAUUGAAGAAGAAAAAAUAGUGGAAAAACUAUCUUGACGUUAUUCAAUGAAUAAGCCCCGGCUAACUAUGUGCCAGCAGCCGCGGUAAUACAUAGGGGGCGAGCGUUAUCCGGAAUUAUUGGGCGUAAAGGGUGCGUAGGCGGUUAGGAAAGUCUAUAAUUUAAUUUCAGUGCUUAACGCUGUCUUGUUAUAGAAACUACCUUGACUAGAGUUAGAUAGAGGCAAGCGGAAUUCCAUGUGUAGCGGUAAAAUGUGUAAAUAUAUGGAGGAACACCAGAAGCGUAGGCGGCUUGCUGGGUCUUGACUGACGCUGAGGCACGAAAGCGUGGGUAGCAAACAGGAUUAGAUACCCUGGUAGUCCACGCCGUAAACGAUGAGUACUAAGUGUCGGGGUAAAACUCGGUACUGAAGUUAACACAUUAAGUACUCCGCCUGAGUAGUACGUACGCAAGUAUGAAACUUAAAGGAAUUGACGGGACUCCGCACAAGCGGUGGAUCAUGUUGUUUAAUUCGAAGAUACACGAAAAAUCUUACCAGGUCUUGACAUGCUUUGCAAAGCUAUAGAAAUAUAGUGGAGGUUAUCAGGGACACAGGUGGUGCAUGGUUGUCGUCAGUUCGUGUCGUGAGAUGUUAGGUUAAGUCCUAAAACGAGCGCAACCCUUGUCGUUAAUUGCCAGCACGUAAUGGUGGGGACUUUAGCGAGACUGCCAAUUAAAAAUUGGAGGAAGGUGAGGAUUACGUCAAAUCAUCAUGCCCCUUAUGAUCUGGGCUACAAACGUGAUACAAUGGCUGUUACAAAGAGUAGCUGAA
rnacentral:rRNA from 1 species